GCAGGAAUUACCAAGCCUGGUCAACAGUGUAAGGUUCAGAUCCUUGUCUCUUAGGAGUUCAUGGGUUCAAAUCCCAUUUUCUGCA
rnacentral:tRNA from 1 species